rnacentral:rRNA from 1 species
GAGUUUUGAUCCUGGCUCAGGAUGAACGCUAGCUAUAGGCUUUAACACAUGCAAGUCGAGGGGUAACAAGGAGAGGGCUUGCUCUUUCUGUUGACGACCGGCGCACGGGUGAGUAACACGUAUCCAACCUACCGUAUACACUGGGAUAGCUCUUCGAAAGAAGGAUUAAGUACUAGAUGUUAAGAUGUUCUCGCCUGGGAAUAUCUUCAAAGAUUUAUCGGUAUACGAUGGGGAUGCGUUCCAUUAGACAGUUGGUGAGGUAACGGCUCACCAAAUCGACGAUGGAUAGGGGUUCUGAGAGGAAGAUCCCCCACAUUGGAACUGAGACACGGUCCAAACUCCUACGGGAGGCAGCAGUGAGGAAUAUUGGUCAAUGGACGCGAGUCUGAACCAGCCAAGUAGCGUGAAGGAAGACUGCCCUAUGGGUUGUAAACUUCUUUUGUUAGGGAAUAAAGUGCGCCACGUGUGGUGUUUUGUAUGUACCUAACGAAUAAGGAUCGGCUAACUCCGUG